AUUGAACGCUGGCGGCAAGCCUAACACAUGCAAGUCGAGCGGUAGAGAGGUGCUUGCACCUCUUGAGAGCGGCGGACGGGUGAGUAAUACCUAGGAAUCUGCCUGGUAGUGGGGGAUAACGUUCGGAAACGGACGCUAAUACCGCAUACGUCCUACGGGAGAAAGCAGGGGACCUUCGGGCCUUGCGCUAUCAGAUGAGCCUAGGUCGGAUUAGCUAGUUGGUGAGGUAAUGGCUCACCAAGGCUACGAUCCGUAACUGGUCUGAGAGGAUGAUCAGUCACACUGGAACUGAGACACGGUCCAGACUCCUACGGGAGGCAGCAGUGGGGAAUAUUGGACAAUGGGCGAAAGCCUGAUCCAGCCAUGCCGCGUGUGUGAAGAGGGUCUUCGGAUUGUAAAGCACUUUAAGUUGGGAGGAAGGGCAUUAACCUAAUACGUUAGUGUUUUGACGUUACCGACAGAAUAAGCACCGCA
rnacentral:rRNA from 1 species